CGCAUCUCGCACCCUGCUGGUGCCUGUGUAAACAGGUGAAAAGGGAAUGUGCCGCCCCGUGCGGGGUGAGGCGCUGCCGCCCCCGCGACCGUGAACCGGAAAGGACCCCAUCGCCACUGGCAUCGCGCCGGGAAGGUCGGGGACCGCUGGGCCGCAAGGCCCGAGAUCCGCAAGCCGGGAGACCUGCCAGCGAGAAGAGCUUUUG
rnacentral:ncRNA from 2 species